CUGCGUCUUACAUGACAACGCUGAAUCCCGUGUUCUUUUUAUUAAAAUUAAUUCCAUUACUAAGGUGACUCACGGGUAAAGAAUUCGAAAAACGAAGGAUGAGUUUGACUACGAGAAACUUAGCAUUCCAUAGCCUAAUUUUGGCUUCCUUGGUACUAUCCGCAUACAGUUUUCCCGAUGGAGCACCGGUGGAUACGUGUGUGAAACCGACUCGUCCUAACGAGCCAAAUCACGGACAAGCAAGGUCGCGACCCUUAGAGAGCAGCCCCUAUGCGUUCUCCGCUUCGUCGUCGCAAUACAGUCCUGGUUCACAAAUAAGUGUCAGCAUCAGCGGUUCGACAUUCAAAGGAUUCUUUAUUCAGGCACGUGAUCCUGAGACAGAUAAAUGGAUUGGUUCCUGGGCUCAAACAGAGAACACGAGCACCCAUCCAGAAUGCAGCGCUGUGACACACGCUGAUCCACAUGUAAAAGAGCACGCGACACUUGUUUGGAAUGCACCGCCGAAUGCACACGGAAGAGUUUAUUUCACUGGGACCAUUUUGAAGGAGUAUGGAACCUACUGGUCCAACGUGGUAGCCACACCUAAACAGUAAGCAACUAUGCAAACUUGUAAGAUCCAGAACAUCGUGAUUUGUAGAUUUUGGAGAGGAAAUCGUAUCUUCGAUAAUUACAGCAGUUACCUUCAAGAAGUUCAAGAAGUUCAUUCUUAAGGGACUCUGACGUCAAGAUAACAAGGAUUCACGUGGUAAUCUGUACAUUAAGAAUUAACGGACACUGUGCCCAGAAGCCAUUGGAGGAAAGUUUCCACGGACGACAAAAGCGUCCUUCUAAAGUAAAAAUGGGAUUCUUUUAUUCUUAAGACGCCUUGAGCUGAAGCGAUGACACUCAAGAAAUCUGAGAAUGUUCCGCAAGUUCGUUUUCACUAAAAUAUUUUUCAAAUUCAUAUUCUUUCGAGAGUUUUAGAAAAGAUGUGAAUUUGCAUUGAUUCAUUUAAAUUAUAGUAACAUUUGAAUAUUUGUUUUCAUUUCUGUUCAGAUAUAAUAUUUUGCUCGACAGAAGUAUUUACCUACCUAUCCUACAUUUUGUGUUUGUUUAACCUAAAAGGCAUUGUAUUCGUUACUCGUAAGUUCUGAAAUGUCAGGAGAGUAAUAAUAAACUGUGUCACGGUUGUCGAAUCUUUAUUUUUUAAAUAUUUAUCAAAUAGACCUUUCAAAUUUGUCGAAACUUUUUGUCUUUCGUUACUAAUACGACUUUAAGGAGUUGUAAAACAUUCACAAUUAUCAAUAGGCCUACUUAUUCAGUUUGAAAUACCUAUAAAAAUCGAAACUCCUAAUUUUUAAAAUAUUUCAGACAACUUAGUUUUUAAAACAUUCAUAUUUUAUAAUGUAAGGAAAUAUAAGAAAUUUACUGUAAUAUUCAUACUUGCAAUAAAUUUAAGAAUUAAUUUGGAACAGUUCAGAUCCAUACACACUGAAAGAAGUAGCACAUUACUGUCUUAGGAAUUUUCAAAAUGAUUAUUUUCAAAUGGGGUAAACGCCGAACACAUUGACUGUAAGUAUUUUGAAGACUAUCAAAAGUGCUGAGAAUAAAAUCUUCAAGACUACCAAAGCUAUCAUGGCUAUCAAAAUACUCAAGUUAACUUCAUUUUCUUGCUACCAAACUUAUUUGAUUCGUUCAAAGGUUCCUUAUAGCGAAGUUUCAAAUAGUCAACGAAAUAGAGGCAAGUAUUCGUCUAAUGUAUAGGAAGGGUACCUGUUCUGUCUCGGUUGGUGUUUAAGGAGCACGAUUACUGGUCCCAUAGUGGGACACACGUGGACUGAUACGGUAAAGGCAGUCGCAACAUGUUCCCAAAGGAGGUUCCGACAUUUCCUCACCGGAUGCCGUUAAUGGAACCCAGCACGCUUCUACGCGAGCAAAAGGAUCGCGGGACAGGGUUACGUAAGUCCACUUGCCCUAAUAGAAGUGGGUCAUUCUCAUAAGGGAAGCUUCGGAAUUUUAGAAGCAACUCUUUUUGUUACUUUACGAUUCCGUCGUCGGAGAAACGACCUUCUAAGAGCUUUCUGAUUGAGCCGGCAGCGACGGGCUCUUGUUGCGCAAAGAGAGACAACGUUCCAGAGUUCACAAUAAAGAGAGUCGUUGGUACUUUACUGUUAUGAAAUGUACAGUCUGCUUCAAUUAACUUGACUAUCUCUGAUAUCAUUGUUUUUAAUGAUACAAAUGAUUAUCAACGUUAUUUAAUGUUUAAACUGAUAUUUCUGACGAGUUUUACUGUUCGAUAAUCGUUUUUGGUUUAUUUGAAUCAGUAUAUUGAUAGUGAUACUUGAAGUAUUAACGCGAAAAAGUCAAUUUAGUUUGAAAAAAGAAAACGGCUGAAGUAGAUUGUAUCGAGGUUUGUACUCUUGAAUGGUACACAUAAGUACCACGAAUAUUUUAAAUUACCGGAAAGCUAUUAAAUGUCUAGAUAAAGGAAAAUUGUAUCACACAGGAAGUUUCGCUUGUGGCUGACAGCUUAAGUGCUAAUCAGCUACCAAUACAUGUGUUUUGGUUGAUUUGUACAGCCGUAAGUUUUUUUUCACAAAAUUUAUAUUAAAAAAAUACAUAUUCAGGAACGAAACGGUUAAAUUACUGGGAAUGAAAAUGAUGAUAAUUUUUCAUAGAAAUGAAGUAUUUUGAAAAUUCAACCGAAUAAACUGUAAUAGUCGUUGGAGGGUAUCUUAGGUUACUGAAGGUGAAAAUGAUGGUUAUUUGUGAAUCAGAAAUUGCGAUAAAAAAACCCUUUCGAAAUAACGACCAGCUCCUCUUAAAGAGAAGUAUGAGUUACUAGAUAUAUUUCCGGUUGGUAGAAGUGGGCCAGCUAUUGUCACUUUAUGGAACCUUAUCAUUUGUAUAAUGUGAACAUGGUAUAAAUAUUAAUUUUUUUUUUGCAACAAAGAGUUAUAAACAAGGUCGAAUUUUCAAAAGGAUUUACUUAUGUCAAAAAUAAUCUUUAUCUUCGUAUUUAACGACCAAGGGCAAUUACAAGAACAGAUAUUCAAAUGAGACUGUCCAGGAAACUAUAUUUUAUCCCAGGAAAUUUAUUAAUUACCAGACAAUGCUAGAAGAUUUAAUUUUUAAAACAUCUAGUAAAUUUCUUAAAAAGUGUAUAUGUAAUUUCGUUCAAUAAAGGAGCACCUAAAUCUUUUAAUUCUGCUGUACUCUUCAAUUUAUUUAUACACUUGAAAUAUUUAAAAAAUAAAACCACCUGGAUUAGUAACAAGAUUUCUGUAAUAUUCUCAAAUUCAAUUUAUCUUGGACGAAAAAAACACGCGAUUAACUUGACAACGGCAGAUUUAAAUGAACAGGGUUAAAUGCAUUGUUGCACUUGUAAAAGAAGUAAAGUCGUAAAGAAAUAUUUCUUCAUAUAUCAUUCAAUUUCUUUGAGUGACAAUUUCUUUUAUAAUCUUUAAUCAAACUCGAAAUAUAACCUGUUUCCAAGUGCGUGACUGACCUUGUAUUUAUUCUUUACAACGGGUUAUAGUAGUGAUUAGUACUGGGUCACAUUUUACCUCUGGUAUCUUUUCUGGUUGUUAAAGAGAAAACAGACGAUAAUAGCAAAGAAUAAUUACUGGGAACAUUGUAGAAGUUUAUGGUAUCUUUUGGAUUGCGUGACAGAACUCUCCUUGCAUGAAAUGGGAGAGCACAAUGUAUUUAACAAUAAUUAUUGUUUCAUGGAGAAAAAUUGAAAUUUCCGAAUAUACAUAUCGUAUAUUCCGGUUUAUUAAAUGAUUGUAUUUGUUAUGAAUGCUUUAUAUGAUUGAAUUUAUCGGUAAAAAUAAUAUGUAUUAAAUAUUUUUUCGAGGACUGUUCUCCGUGUAAAUUGUAUCGAGUAGAAAAUGAAAUCCAUAUUUAUUGAGGUUUAAAAAAACAGCUUGCAUCAGUUUAUCUCGUCUACUCUGUAGAAUGUAUUCAUGAAA